rnacentral:rRNA from 2 species
UAUCACUAAGCGGAGGAAAAGAAACUAACAAGGAUUCCCUCAGUAGCGGCGAGUGAAGUGGGAAGAGCCCAUCGCCGAAUCCCCGCAUGCCGCAAGGCGUGCGCGGGAAUUGUGGCGUGAGGAAAACAGAAUCCUGGCCGUUCCAAGGUCGCCGAGGUCCCCAUGACCGGGGCUCCUUCCGUAGUGGGUGUGAGGCCCAUUCAGGCACCAGGGCGGUCGGGAGUAUGCUUUCCAAGAGUCGGGUUGUUUGAGAAUGCAGCCCAAAGACGGGUGGUGAACUCCAUCCAAGGCUAAAUAUUAAACACGAGUCCGAUAGAAGACAAGUACCGUGAGGGAACGUUGAAAAAAACUCUGAAGARAGGGUUCAAGAUUGCGUGAAACCGCCGARAARAAAACGGACAAAAUCCGCWUGCUAAAUGARACCCCGUGANAUUCNACCCCGGGCGGCUUCUGGCUACGGGCCGGUAUGAUCCGCAAGGACGNCCCGGUGCGGCUUCNGGUCCCUGCNCACACUUCUUUCGUUUGCUUCUUACUGNUAACGGUUACCGUCAACAUAAUCU